rnacentral:rRNA from 1 species
UACAGAGGGUGCAAGCGUUGUUCGGAAUUACUGGGCGUAAAGCGUGCGCAGGCGGUUGUGCAAGACAGAUGUGAAAUCCCCGGGCUCAACCUGGGAAUUGCAUUUGUGACUGGCACGGCUAGUAGUGUGUCAGGGAGGGGGUAAGAACUUCCACGUGUGAGCAGUUGAAAUGCGUAGAUAUGCGGAGGAACACCGAUGGCGAAGGCAAUCCCCUGGGCCUGCACUGACGCUCAUGCACGAAAGCGUGGGGAGCAAACAGG